GAUUUCUGGUUUGAUGUGCCUGUCCCGCCACGGUAACGUGUGUGAGUGACGGUGUACGUCUGCCAUCCUUCUAGAUUCGGCAGGCUAUUCUUAACUGAGUGGUCUGUCUGUUCUAGAUCUUUUACUUUGAAAAAAUUAGAGUGUUUCAAGCAGGCUUUUGCUAUGAAUACAUUAGCAUGGAAUAAUGAGUUAGGACUUCGGUUCUAUUUUGUUGGUUUCUAGGGCUGAAGUAAUGAUUGAUAGGGACAGUUGGGGGUGCUAGUAUUCAGUGCGAAGAGGUGAAAUUCUUGGAUCCACUGAAGACUAACUUAUGCGAAAGCAUU
rnacentral:rRNA from 1 species